AGUCGAGCGGACAGAAGGGAGCUUGCUCCCGGAUGUUAGCGGCGGACGGGUGAGUAACACGUGGGUAACCUGCCUGUAAGACUGGGAUAACUCCGGGAAACCGGAGCUAAUACCGGAUAGUUCCUUGAACCGCAUGGUUCAAGGAUGAAAGACGGUUUCGGCUGUCACUUACAGAUGGACCCGCGGCGCAUUAGCUAGUUGGUGAGGUAACGGCUCACCAAGGCGACGAUGCGUAGCCGACCUGAGAGGGUGAUCGGCCACACUGGGACUGAGACACGGCCCAGACUCCUACGGGAGGCAGCAGUAGGGAAUCUUCCGCAAUGGACGAAAGUCUGACGGAGCAACGCCGCGUGAGUGAUGAAGGUUUUCGGAUCGUAAAGCUCUGUUGUUAGGGAAGAACAAGUGCAAGAGUAACUGCUUGCACCUUGACGGUACCUAACCAGAAAGCCACGGCUAACUACGUGCCAGCAGCCGCGGUAAUACGUAGGUGGCAAGCGUUGUCCGGAAUUAUUGGGCGUAAAGGGCUCGCAGGCGGUUUCUUAAGUCUGAUGUGAAAGCCCCCGGCUCAACCGGGGAGGGUCAUUGGAAACUGGGAAACUUGAGUGCAGAAGAGGAGAGUGGAAUUCCACGUGUAGCGGUGAAAUGCGUAGAGAAUGUGGAGGAACACCAGUGGCGAAGGCGACUCUCUGGUCUGUAACUGACGCUGAGGAGCGAAAGCGUGGGGAGCGAACAGGAUUAGAUACCCCUGGUAGUCCACGCCGUAAACGAUGAGUGCUAAGUGGUUAGGGGGUUUCCGCCCCUUAGUGCUGCAGCUAACGCAUUAAGCACUCCGCCUGGGGGAGUACGGUCGCAAGACUGAAACUCAAAGGAAUUGACGGGGGCCCGCACAAGCGGUGGGAGCAUGUGGUUUAAUUCGAAGCAACGCGAAGAACCUUACCAGGUCUGGCAUCCUCUGACAACCCUAGAAGAU
rnacentral:rRNA from 1 species